ACUUCAUUUGUGAAACCCUACUCCCAAACACACCAGCCGCUACAUCUAUGUUCCCUCUCAUCUACUGUCUACAACUAAAGAUUUAACUCACACAUACACUCGCAAGCCCCCCCCCCCCCCGGUUGUUAAAUGUUGAACGAUCGGCCAUCACCAGAUGUUGGUUGACAUCGGACCGAGAUGGCAGACAGGAGAGAAAGAAAGGACGACGAGAAUGGGAGCGCCGCCGCCGCUCACGGCGGUGGCAGGGGUGACGACGGUGGUGUGAUGGUCCGAGGAGUCUCACGUCGGGGUUCGGUUCAGCGGUAGAGUUGGUGGUGGCGGUCGUGACGGGGUGGCAACGUUGGGGUUUUGACAGCAGAACCCUGGUAUCGAUGAUGACCGAUGAUGAACGUUGAUGAUGACGGCAGCGGCGGUCAGUUGUGGUGAAGAUACGGUUCUAAUUUUGGCUCAGGUUCGAGUCAACUUAGUCGGAUACUUAAACUCGAGUUAACUCAGUCAAACUCGGGUCAACACAGUCAAAGAAGGGUCUCGUUUUGGGGUUCUAUCAGGAUCAGUCAACAGUAGACAAACAAUCAACUGCGGUUUGGUCAAACAUCAAAUUCGGGGCAGAUUUAUUCGGGUUUCGGGUUAAACCCGGUUGGCUCGGUCAACACCCGAGUCAACUCGGGUCAACAGUGGUCAACGGACGGUCAACAGUCAAUGGUCAACUGCCUGGUCAAAACCAGUCAAUGCGUGACCCGGUAAAGUUAUAACGACAUGAAAUUUAGUUUGGUUCAAUAUAGAUUUUAUAUUUUUACGCGACCGAGCUUGAACCGAAUGCAUUUAGUGAACGAUUUUCAUUUUUGACAUACUUGACGAACAUUUUUAUACAUAAUGUUUACAUUGUUGAUUGAA